rnacentral:rRNA from 1 species
GAUGAACGCUGGCGGCGUGCCUAAUACAUGCAAGUCGAGCGAACGGACGAGAAGCUUGCUCCUCUGAUGUUAGCGGCGGACGGGUGAGUAACACGUGGAUAACCUACCUAUAAGACUGGGAUAACUUCGGGAAACCGGAGCUAAUACCGGAUAAUAUUUUGAACCGCAUGGUUCAAAAGUGAAAGACGGUCUUGCUGUCACUUAUAGAUGGAUCCGCGCUGCAUUAGCUAGUUGGUAAGGUAACGGCUUACCAAGGCAACGAUGCAUAGCCGACCUGAGAGGGUGAUCGGCCACACUGGAACUGAGACACGGUCCAGACUCCUACGGGAGGCAGCAGUAGGGAAUCUUCCGCAAUGGGCGAAAGCCUGACGGAGCAACGUCGCGUGAGUGAUGAAGGUCUUCGGAUCGUAAAACUCUGUUAUUAGGGAAGAACAUAUGUGUAAGUAACUGUGCACAUCUUGACGGUACCUAAUCAGAAAGCCACGGCUAACUACGUG